CUGCAAGCUGAGGGGGCCGGCUCUGGCCUUGGCCAGGCCAGAAAGGGGCUCCCACAGUGCAGCGGUGGGCCGAAGGCCUCCUCAAGUGCCGCCAAAGUGGGAGCCCAGGCAGAGGAGGCACCAAGAGCGAGCGAGGGCUGGGAGGACUGCCAGCACGCUGCCACCUCUCAAUGAGAUCCUGGGCAUCAAGCAAGUGCACACUGAGCAGAGGCUUUAUACAUGCCUUGGAAAGGUAGAGCAAGAAGUACCAGAUUGU
rnacentral:lncRNA from 1 species